AUGACAUCACUCAAGAAGAAGAGUAGGAGGAAGCCUUCUUCCCAGGCCCUGGGGAAUAUUGUUGGCUGCAGAAUUUCUCACGGGUGGAAGGAAGGUAAUGAGCCUGUCACCCAUUGGAAGGCCAUCAUUCUAGGUCAACUGCCAACAAACCCUUCUCUUUAUUUGGUGAAGUAUGACGGAAUUGACAGUGUCUACGGACAGGAGCUCCACAGCGAUGAGAGGAUUUUAAAUCUUAAGGUCUUGCCUCACAAAGUAGUUUUUCCUCAGGUGAGGGAUGUCCACCUCGCAGGCGCAUUGGUUGGCAGAGAGGUACAACACAAAUUUGAGGGGAAAGAUGGCUCUGAGGACAACUGGAGUGGGAUGGUGCUAGCCAGGUGCCAUUCUUACAGGACUAUUUUUACAUUUCCUACAAGAAGGAUCCGGUCCUCUACGUCUAUCAGCUCCUGGAUGACUACAAGGAAGGUAACCUCCACAUCAUUCCAGAGACCCCUCUGGCUGAGGCGAGAUCAGGUGAUGACAAUGACUUCUUAAUAGGUUCCUGGGUGCAGUACACCAGAGAUGAUGGAUCCAAAAAGUUCGGAAAGGUUGUUUACAAAGUUCUAGCCAAUCCUACUGUGUACUUUAUCAAAUUUCUCGGUGACCUCCAUAUCUAUGUCUAUACUCUGGUGUCAAAUAUCACUUAA
rnacentral:lncRNA from 1 species